GGAUGAACGCUGGCGGCGUGCUUAACACAUGCAAGUCGAACGAUGAACCUCACUUGUGGGGGGAUUAGUGGCGAACGGGUGAGUAACACGUGAGUAACCUGCCCUUAACUCUGGGAUAAGCCUGGGAAACUGGGUCUAAUACCGGAUAUGACUCCUCAUCGCAUGGUGGGGGGUGGAAAGCUUUUUGUGGUUUUGGAUGGACUCGCGGCCUAUCAGCUUGUUGGUGAGGUAAUGGCUUACCAAGGCGACGACGGGUAGCCGGCCUGAGAGGGUGACCGGCCACACUGGGACUGAGACACGGCCCAGACUCCUACGGGAGGCAGCAGUGGGGAAUAUUGCACAAUGGGCGCAAGCCUGAUGCAGCGACGCCGCGUGAGGGAUGACGGCCUUCGGGUUGUAAACCUCUUUCAGUAGGGAAGAAGCGAAAGUGACGGUACCUGCAGAAGAAGCGCCGGCUAACUACGUGCCAGCAGCCGCGGUAAUACGUAGGGCGCAAGCGUUAUCCGGAAUUAUUGGGCGUAAAGAGCUCGUAGGCGGUUUGUCGCGUCUGCCGUGAAAGUCCGGGGCUCAACUCCGGAUCUGCGGUGGGGUACGGGCAGACUAGAGUGAUGUAUGGGAGACUGGGAAUUCCUGGUGUAGCGGUGAAAUGCGCAGAUAUCAGGAGGAACACCGAUGGCGAAGGCAGGUCUCUGGGCAUUAACUGACGCUGAGGAGCGAAAGCAUGGGGAGCGAACAGGAUUAGAUACCCUGGUAGUCCAUGCCGUAAACGUUGGGCACUAGGUGUGGGGGACAUUCCACGUUUUCCGCGCCGUAGCUAACGCAUUAAGUGCCCCGCCUGGGGAGUACGGCCGCAAGGCUAAAACUCAAAGGAAUUGACGGGGGCCCGCACAAGCGGCGGAGCAUGCGGAUUAAUUCGAUGCAACGCGAAGAACCUUACCAAGGCUUGACAUGAACCGGUAAUACCUGGAGACAGGUGCCCCGCUUGCGGUCGGUUUACAGGUGGUGCAUGGUUGUCGUCAGCUCGUGUCGUGAGAUGUUGGGUUAAGUCCCGCAACGAGCGCAACCCUCGUUCUAUGUUGCCAGCACGUGAUGGUGGGGACUCAUAGGAGACUGCCGGGGUCAACUCGGAGGAAGGUGGGGACGACGUCAAAUCAUCAUGCCCCUUAUGUCUUGGGCUUCACGCAUGCUACAAUGGCCGGUACAAAGGGUUGCGAUACUGUGAGGUGGAGCUAAUCCCAAAAAGCCGGUCUCAGUUCGGAUUGGGGUCUGCAACUCGACCCCAUGAAGUCGGAGUCGCUAGUAAUCGCAGAUCAGCAACGCUGCGGUGAAUACGUUCCCGGGCCUUG
rnacentral:rRNA from 1 species